rnacentral:rRNA from 1 species
AGAGUUUGAUCCUGGCUCAGGACGAACGCUGGCGGCGCGCCUAACACAUGCAAGUCGAACGGAGCUUAGAGAGCUUGCUUUUUAAGCUUAGUGGCGAACGGGUGAGUAACGCGUGAGUAACCUGCCCUAGAGUGGGGGACAACAGUUGGAAACGACUGCUAAUACCGCAUAAGCCCACGGUACCGCAUGGUACUGAGGGAAAAGGAUUUAUUCGCUUUAGGAUGGACUCGCGUCCAAUUAGCUAGUUGGUGAGGUAACGGCCCACCAAGGCGACGAUUGGUAGCCGGACUGAGAGGUUGAACGGCCACAUUGGGACUGAGACACGGCCCAGACUCCUACGGGAGGCAGCAGUGGGGGAUAUUGCACAAUGGGGGAAACCCUGAUGCAGCGACGCCGCGUGGAGGAAGAAGGUUUUCGGAUUGUAAACUCCUGUCGUUAGGGACGAUAAUGACGGUACCUAACAAGAAAGCACCGGCUAACUACGUGCCAGCAGCCGCGGUAAAACGUAGGGUGCAAGCGUUGUCCGGAAUUACUGGGUGUAAAGGGAGCGCAGGCGGGAAGACAAGUUGGAAGUGAAAACCAUGGGCUCAACCCAUGAAUUGCUUUCAAAACUGUUUUUCUUGAGUAGUGCAGAGGUAGAUGGAAUUCCCGGUGUAGCGGUGGAAUGCGUAGAUAUCGGGAGGAACACCAGUGGCGAAGGCGGUCUACUGGGCACCAACUGACGCUGAGGCUCGAAAGCAUGGGUAGCAAACAGGAUUAGAUACCCUGGUAGUCCAUGCCGUAAACGAUGAUUACUAGGUGUUGGGGGAUUGACCCCCUCAGUGCCGCAGUUAACACAAUAAGUAAUCCACCUGGGGAGUACGACCGCAAGGUUGAAACUCAAAGGAAUUGACGGGGGCCCGCACAAGCAGUGGAGUAUGUGGUUUAAUUCGAAGCAACGCGAAGAACCUUACCAGGUCUUGACAUCCGAUGCAUAGCACAGAGAUGUGUGAAAUCCUUCGGGACAUCGAGACAGGUGGUGCAUGGUUGUCGUCAGCUCGUGUCGUGAGAUGUUGGGUUAAGUCCCGCAACGAGCGCAACCCUUAUUGCCAGUUACUACGCAAGAGGACUCUGGCCAGACUGCCGUUGACAAAACGGAGGAAGGUGGGGAUGACGUCAAAUCAUCAUGCCCUUUAUGACUUGGGCUACACACGUACUACAAUGGCGUUAAACAAAGAGAAGCAAGACCGCGAGGUGGAGCAAAACUCAGAAACAACGUCCCAGUUCGGACUGCAGGCUGCAACUCGCCUGCACGAAGUCGGAAUUGCUAGUAAUCGUGGAUCAGCAUGCCACGGUGAAUACGUUCCCGGGCCUUGCACACACCGCCCGUCA